GGCAGAGAGAGAAAAACAGCGGUUCAAAUUCCAACGUUCGACUUCGAUUUGUUUUUUCUCCAACCUCACACCUCUCCUCCCUCACCACUUGUAGUUUCUACUCCUCCCCGUUUGAACAGAGUGAUAAAUCUUUGCUUCUUCUUCUAGGGUCUUUAUCUCUGUGGGAUUGUUACUCGAUUUCAGGAAUCUCAAAGAUUCGAGGAUGCAAUCAAGAGAAAUUAGAAGGUGAGAAGAAACAGAGAAAAUAGAAUUUUAGGAGGAAGAGUUGCAAUUUUCAUAUAUGCUGUAAAUGAUGAUUACAAUGAGUAUUUAUAGACAAUGAUGUAACUGAAAUGAUCAAAGCUAUCUAAUGAAACAAUUGUUUGAUAACC